rnacentral:rRNA from 1 species
UACGGAGGGUGCAAGCGUUAUCCGGAUUCACUGGGUUUAAAGGGUGCGUAGGUGGGCAAGUAAGUCAGUGGUGAAAUCUCCGGGCUUAACCCGGAAACUGCCAUUGAUACUAUUUGUCUUGAAUACUGUGGAGGUCAGCGGAAUAUGUCAUGUAGCGGUGAAAUGCUUAGAUAUGGCAUAGAACACCAAUUGCGAAGGCAGCUGGCUACACAAAUAUUGACACUGAGGCACGAAAGCGUGGGGAUCAAACAGG